rnacentral:rRNA from 1 species
UACGGGGGGAGCAAGCGUUGUUCGGAUUUACUGGGCGUAAAGGGCGCGUAGGCGGCGCAACAAGUCACUUGUGAAAUCUCCGGGCUUAACCCGGAGCGGCCAAGUGAUACUGUCGUGCUAGAGUGCGGAAGGGGCUACUGGAAUUCUCGGUGUAGCGGUGAAAUGCGUAGAUAUCGAGAGGAACACCUGCGGCGAAGGCGG